rnacentral:misc_RNA from 1 species
UUGUCUAGAACAUCUCCUAGCUCCACUGUGAUUCUUUUAACAACACUAGCCUCCUAUUGGGUGAACAUAUGCCACCAUCUAACUUCCCAAAUACAAUCCCAUCCUUUUUCCUCAUUGUUAAGAAGCUUUACAACUCAGUAUGGGACCCUAGGGAAUGGUUAAGGUGCUUGAACCCUAAAAUUUCUAAGUUGGAACCAUUUUUUAAUAGUUCCACCUCACUCCUGAACUGAGAAUCUCUCUUCCUUUAAGGAAGCUACUCCAGCAAGUUUCCAAGCUUGUUUUUGCUAGUAAUGCUCUAUUAAAGACCAUGUGUG